AUUGAACUCUGGCGGCCGGCCUAACACAUGCAAGUCGAACGAGUGGCGGACGGGUGAGUAAUGUCUGGGAAACUGCCUGAUGGAGGGGGAUAACUACUGGAAACGGUAGCUAAUACCGCAUACCAUCAGAUGUGCCCAGAUGGGAUUGGCUUGUUGGUGGGGUAACGGCGCACCAGGGCGACGAUACAUAGCUGGUCUGAGAGGAUGACCAGCCACACGGGAACUGAGACACGGCCCAGACUCCUACGGGAGGCAGCAGUGGGGAAUAUUGCACAAUGGGCGAAAGCCGGAUGCAGCCAUGCCGCGUGUAUGAAGAAGGCCUUCGGGUUGUAAAGUACUUUCAGCGGGGAGGCGUUACCCGCAGAAGAAGCACCGGCUAACUCCGUGCCAGCAGCCGCGGUAAUUC
rnacentral:rRNA from 1 species